AGCAGCCGCGGUAAUUCCAGCUCCAAUAGCGUAUAUUAAAGUUGUUGCAGUUAAAAAGCUCGUAGUUGAAUUUCGGGGUUCUACCGUUGGUCGGGCAAUAGUCUGUACUGGCGUGUAGAAUUUCUACCUUCUGGGGAACCAUCAUGUUAUUUAUUUAGCGUGGUGGGAAACCAGGACCUUUACCUUGAAAAAAUUAGAGUGUUCAAAGCAGGCUUACGUCUGAAUACAUUAGCAUGGAAUAAUAAAAUAGGACGGUGGUCCUGUUUUGUUGGUUUCUGAAUCACCGUAAUGAUUAAUAGGGAUAGUUGGGGGCAUUAGUAUUCAAUUGUCAGAGGUGAAAUUCUUGGAUUUAUUGAAGACUAACUUCUGCGAAAGCAUUUGCCAAGGAUGUUUUCAUUAAUCAAGAACGAAAGUUAGGGGAUCGAAGACGAUCAGAUACCGUCGUAGUCUUAACCAUAAACUAUGCCGACUAGGGAUCGGACGAUGUUAAUUUUUCUUGACUCGUUCGGCGCCUUUACGG
rnacentral:rRNA from 1 species